rnacentral:lncRNA from 1 species
AGAACACUUGGACACAGGAUGGGGAACAUCACACACCAGGGCCUGUCAUGGGGUGGGGGAGGGGGGAGGGGUAGCAUUAGGAGAAAUGCCUAAUGUAAAUGACAAGUUUAUGGGUGCAGCACACCAACAUGGCACAUGUAUACAUAUGUAACAAACCUGCACGUUGUGCCCAUGUACCCUAGAACUUAAAGUAUAAAAAAAAAUGUGGUAAAGCUUUAGGCUGUUCCAGUUACCAUUGCAAACAUGAAAGAACUCAUAGUGGAGAAAAACUACAAAUGUAAGCAAUAUGGGAAAAUAUUUAAUUUUCCCAGUUUUCCUCAAAGAUAUGAAAGCAAUCAAACUGGAGAAAGAAAACCUAUAACUGUAAGAAACAUGAUUUGAAAAAGUGAAAGGACUCACACUGAAGAAAAGCCUUACGGUAUAAGAAAUGUGGUCAGGCAUUUAGUUCUUUUGUUUGUUUGAUUUUGUUUUUUUGAAACGGAGUCUCGCUCUCUCACCCAGGCUGGAGUACAGUGGCACAAUCUCAGCUCACUGCAACCCCUGCUUCCCGGGUUCAAGCAAUUCUCCUGUCUCAGCCUCCCAAGUAGCUGGGACUACAGGCACAUAUCACCAUGCCUGGAUAAUUUUUAUAUUUUUAUUAGAGAUGGAGUUUCACCACAUUGGUCAGGCUGGUCUCAAACUCCUGACCUCAGAUAAUCUACCCGUCUCAGCCUCCCAAAGUGCUGGGAUUACAGGCAUGAGCCACCACGCCUGGCCCAUUUAGUUCUUUUAGUUGCAUUUGCUGACUUAAAAUAUCUCAUUCUGGAGAGAAGCUCUGUGAAUGUAUGAGAUGUGGGAAUGCCUUUGCUUUUCCCAUAUCCUUUCAUAGACGCGUGAUCAUGCACACAAGAUGGACCCUAUAAACAGGAGAAUCACACCUGACUGGAUCCCGAGUAGUGUGGAAAAUACAGAAAAGUUCUCAAUUUUAACAAUUACUUUCAAAGUCAUGUGAAAACUCGUACUGGAAGGAAAUAUUGUAAAUAAUAUUGAAAGCCUGUUGCAAAUUCAUUAUUGUAUAAUGCUUGAAAAAAAUUUACAACAUGAAAGAAAUGUUAUAUGAAUUAUAUAUAUAUAUUGUGUUUAUCAGUGGCUCAUUAUUAAAGAAGGUCUCUGGACUAUAGAUUUCCACUGUUUUUGCGAUAAAAGAUUGAGGUGAAAAUUCUGUAGGUACCUUUUGAGUGAUAAUUGUUUAAUUAAUCUAUGAUUAAUAGGCCUUUGAAAAAUGAAUCUUUGUUAAUUGUCAAAAUUUUUCUUACUUUAUGGGGCAGGUUUUGGACAGCCUCACCCAUUGUAUAUAUUCCAACUUUUUUUUUUUUUUUUUGAGACGGAGUCUUGCUCUGUCACCCAAGCUGGAGGGCAGUGGUGCAAUUUCAGCUCACUGCAACCUCCACCUCCCAGGUUCAAGUGAUCCUCCUGCCUCAGCCUCCGAAGUAGCUGGGACUACAGACAUGCACCACCAUGCCCGGCCAAUUUUUGUGUAUAUAUAUACUUUUUUUUUUUUUUUUUUAGGAGAGACGAGGUUUCGCCAUGAUGGCCAGGCUGGUCUCAGACUACUGACCUCAGUGAACCACCCGCCUUGGCCUCCCAAAGUGCUGGGAUUAUAGGCGUGAGCCAGUGUGCCCGGCCUAUAUUCCAACUUUUUAUUAUUAUGGAAAAAACUUAUCUUUUUUGUUAUAAAAAAAGGUUUUUUUUUUAAUAAAGAGUUGAUGUCAGUUUGUAAAAUAGUAAAAAAUCAAAAUAAAAAUGAAGAUCAUUGUAAAAUGAAAUGUCAGAAUAUGCGUGCAUUGAACGAAAUCAACAAAACACAGACCUGAGUAACUUUAGAAUUUUAAUCUCCAUGAAGCUCAAGAUAUUCAGAUCUAACAACUUUGGUGCUUACAGAACAUUUAUAUCUUCUAACUGUCCCAUGUGAAUAUCCCACAUAGACUCUCACCAGCCAUGACCCAACUCCAGGUAGCAAUGAAGGCUUGUUGAAGUCCCAUUUGGAGCAUUUAUGGUCUAUUCCUGGCCCCUACUCUUCUAUUCUGAAAUCAUGGUUGCAAAAGGCUCAGAAUUUAAAGGCUUAAUUAUAAAUGUCUCUUAAAGAGAAAAAUGGAAAGGGGACUAGUUUAAUGGAACAAUUCAUUUUAUGAGUCAAAUAGUGAUAUCCAUCAUUAAUUACAUGUGAUGCAAAUAUGGCCAAAUGUUAGCACUUGUUAAAUCAUUAUGGCUACUAUAUGGGUAUUGUUUUUAUUAUUUUCUGCGCUUUCUGGACCUACCAUUCCAAAAGUGAAAAAAUGUAAUUUAUAGAAUUGACAAAGCAGAGAACAUUUUCCUCCUGGGGUAAGCAAGGAAAAUUUCAACAUUAUAUUAUUUUUGGAAUUGACUGGACUUCCUACUCCUAAGCAAUCUUACCUGCACAUCUUUUGAAAUAGACUUAAUUGCUGCCUAGAGCUCAUAGAAGGAUCUCACAGCACUGCUCCAGGGCACUGAAGCUUACAGUGAAAGCACAUUUUCAGCAAGUACUGAAGAUUGUCUCCACGUUGGCUGGUUUGAAACUGUGGUGUAUGUUUAAGCUCAGGCUGGAAAAGGAUCACUGAAAGUCACUUGGAUGGUGUCUCGUGUGUCUGUGAUGAGCUUGCUGUUGCUUUCUUUCUCCUUGACAGAUGAGAAAACAGUGGCUUCAAAGGUUAAACAACUUGUCUUCGAUUGCACAGCUAACAAGAGCUCACUGUCCAAAGGGAGUCUCUCUCCCCGGUCCACAUGCUGAGGCUUGCUCCAGAGUGAAUGUGUGCACUGGAAAGAACCCACACAGGCCCCCUGAGAGCUGUCAGCCUUGCCAGGCUUCUGUGAGAUCCCUGGGUCCGAGUAGCCAAGCUGGGAGGAGCACCAUUUGCCCACUGACUCUUGGGCAACGCUGCAGCCUGCAUCCCAGCCGGCAGAAGGCAGGUGGUAUCACAGCUGAGUUUACAGCCACGGAAGGAACCACUGUAGGCUUUUAGUAGAUAAUAUGUUUUCUCUGCUUCAAAUCCUUAUUUUGGUUGCUUAAAAUUUCUGCAGAAAACAAACAGCUUCUGCCAAAAUUGGCUCACAAAAUUAGCUUACUAGUAUAAUCAGUUGUAUAGCAAGUAUUUACUGAGUAGCUCUUGGAAGGCAGUCAACACAAGAGGGAUGGAUCAUUCUUCCAGUUCAUCACACGUGGGUUGGACAUGCUAACAGUCCCCGAUAGCUAUCAGGCGAGUAAAUGGAUGAUCACACAAAGGCAGAGGCAUCGCAGAAGGAUGCUAACUAGAUGUCAUGCGUCAAGGAUACUACAGAAGGAUCUCUUUGCUGACAAGGAGGGUACCUCUAAGGUUCCUUCAGAUGGGAUGGUUCUCUGUUCACCGUGAUCACUACUAUGCAAAGGCCUGUGGGCCAUUUAGGAGAAAAGCAUUCAGUCCAAUUCCACAGACACAGUGAGGAUGUAAUAUGCCCUAGGCAUAUAUGAGUGGAUCCAAGGAGGAAAUACUCAGUCACUACUGUCAAGAACUCAUGACCUGCUGCAGGGUUUGCCAAACUAUGGCUUGUGGGCCAAUCUGGCUCACCACCUAUUUUAGUAAAUAAUGUUUUACUGGAAUCCAGACACGCUUGUUUGAUUACAUAUUGUCUAUGGCUGCUGAGCACCCACUAUAAGGGCAAAGUUAAGUAGAUAGAGACUUUAUCACCCACAAAACCUAAAAUAUUUGACUGGAUGGCCCUCUACAGAAAAAGCCUGCGAACCUGUGGUCUUGUGGGAGGACACUGCUGGGCACAGUUAACUCUAAUUCUUGGCUGUAGCAUCUUGAAUAGGGUGGCAGUCCCUGGCUGCUGAGGGGGACAGCUGGACGGCUGCCUCCCAGGGGCAUUUCCAUGACUUGCAGGCCCAGAAACUAGACUUGGGCAUGACCACAGAGUUCUUGAUGGACUGAAGAUGCCCAAACCACAGACUGACUUGUAGGCUAGAAAUGAACAUGUGGGGUGGAAUAGUCCUUUUGGGGACUAGAAUAAUUUCUAGAGAGCCACCCUUUCUACAUGAUACGGCGCACAUUCAAGUGUGGCUACUUACACUGAGACUUUCUGAUGAGCACGACUAGACAGCAGGGGGCCCCCAGGAUAGUUUGUUCAGGUCAAGGUAAGAUGAGAGGAGAAACUAGCCCUGUCCCUUGCUGGACACCACCACUCCAGUGCCUGAAAUCCAACCUCCCCACCCCCAUCAGCAUUCCUCCCCUGGAAAAGAUUGGAAAAUGCAAGAAUGUGCUUCUUUGACUCUGGCCUUCCUCUAACAGCCCUGCUUCUGUUAACACAGCCUUUUUGCAGCUUCCUUGACGUCAUUGGCUACAGGCUACAGCUGUUGCUAGUCAAAGGCAUUGUUCCUUUGAGCUAGCAGGCACUUUGUUCUCUCCCAUGACACAUUGUUUUAUGAGCUCACUCUAGAGGAGAAACAUUCUAUCCCUGUGCUCAAGUUCUUCAGGAGCACCUCACUGUCUCCCUCUGCCCACCCACCUGCACCUGACAGCUGUGGGCUGUGCUCUCAGGGAGGCACCGUCAGAUGCUACCAGACUACAGAGGAGAGCACCCUCAAUCCUGACUGAAGGUUUGGGAAAAGGCUGCUCAGAAGAGGUGAUACUUGAUAUGGGCCCUGGAGGAGGAGAAGCAGUUUGAGAAGACAGCAGUGAGAGAUGGCAUCCGGGCAGGCGAGAAAUGCAAAGGGAAGAGAGGUCAUCCAGGACAAAAGUACAGAAUGAAAAGAAAAAGCAACUAAGCACGAAAUCUUGGAGAAUGUCCUCAUUGAAGGGUCCUGAGCACCAAGGGUACAGUCAGAAAUGAUGAAUCCAGAAAUGAUGCCCUCCAGAACUUCUGGUGAGGAAGGCACUCAGGAAAAUGCAGCACCCUAUGGAGGCCCAGAAAGGAGGGCAUUCAGGAAGAACACAGUCUGAUGGUGUCAAGUGCAGCGGAGGCUAAGAGAUACUGUUAUAUGUGCUCAUGUAAAUUGUCUGGCAAUUAGCUGCAAGAGGAUUGUAGGAAGAGAUUCUACCUAUCCAUCUCUUUACACCAUGCCUUCUGAA